UUAACCAGGCUGGCCUUGAACUUGCAAUCAUCCUGCUUCAGCCUCCUAAGUUGCUGGGAUCAUAGAUGUGAAGCACCAUGCCUGGCACAGAACUGGGAGCGCCCAGGAGAGCUGGAAGCUUUGUUGGAAUGGCCCGCGGUGCUCCAUCAACAAUGGACGGUGCUCAAACACGAGUCGAGCCACAGCUGGGAAGGAGUUUCCCCAACGCGACGACAGCUCCAAAGCAAUCAAUAGUGAAUCAGUUGCAACGGUGGGGUCCUGACUGACCUAAGUAGAAGUCCUUCAAGGAAGGAAGGGGCGAUCUGGUGUAGGCAAGACUCCCGACAGCACGGGGAAGGAAAACUGCGGAGUUCUACGUUCAGCUCAUCGGUGUCCCUGACAUCUCCCUCCCUGCCCUGAUCUCCCGUCAGCUUCUUGGACUCUGGAGCCACCCGUGUUACGCAGCCUCAUGGCGAACUUGCUCUGGAUUCUGCAGAAUACCUAGGUCCCUAGGACAGAGAUGGCAUGACUAGCUACACGAUUCAGUCCUCUUUGGGGGUGGGGUUCUG